CAAUGUUCCUUGAUUUAUGGCAUGAGAUGGUUUGCAUGUGUUUAUAGUUUAGGUUUUUUUUUUUUUUUUUUUAAUUUUUUUUUUAAUUUUUUUUUUUAAUUUUUUAUAAAUUUGGGGUGGAAUGUCAUUCAAGGUCUGAUUUAAUUUGGAAGAGGUAUAUUUGCUCUUUCAUUAUUUUACACCGUUAUUGUGAUUUUUGAUUUGGAUUUUUGUUUAUUUACUCCUAAUUUUCUCUCUCUUCACUCCAAACGACAUUUUUAAUCUGCAUGUAAGCUUUGCAAAUACCUGUAAUUCAUCUUCAUUGUUGAAGAUUAUGGUGUUGACUUUAUCAAUUAACUGGUGGUGAAAUAGUUUAUGAGUUUCGGAAAUCGAGGAAUAAAUUGGGGGAAAUUUUUAUAGGGUUUUUCGAAGCUAUGUUAUUGUGAUGUCAUUAGUUUUAUUAAUUUGGUGCAUAAAUGCUCUUUCCCGGGGAUAUAGGGUUUCGCGUUGCUGUAUACUUCAGUUUUUGGGUUUUUCCGGUGGUAUUCUUCGUUCUCCGGCGAAAAUGGCGGAUUGCGGUGGCUAGAGAGCAGGAGAUCUAUCGAUUGCUUGUUUUGGCAUCAGAAGAGGCUGCUCGAGCUGAGAUUGAGGCUAUUUUUCACACAAUUAAGGCUGAAUCUCUUGUCAAAGUUUAGCAAGAUAUGAGAGAUACCAGGUCUCGGUUCUCAAACCGAGAUUUCAUUUGCUGGAACUUUUGUUGGCAGUGCUAUUGCUGCUUAGUUUGCUGAGAAAUUGAUUGGCUUCAUUAGCUCCCAUGUUCCGUCUAUCUGCAAAGUACUCCGUUCUUUAUUAGUGUACUGAAUUUUUGAAUGUGUAUUGGGAAUUUGGGAUUCCUAUCCUCGAAACAUGCAAAAAGAGCCAAUUGCAAGGGCACUUAAACAGGGUAAGGCUAGCAAGAAGAGAGCAAGACCUGGUGAAAGUUAUAGGUCUCGGCCUAGAAUAGGCAGUUUAUCCAAGAUUAGAUUAAAGAGAUUCAAGAGCUUGUGCCCAAUGUAGCAAAGGUAUGUCUCCAGUGCAGUUGUGGAAAGUAGUGCUUUUAGAUGAUCCCUCUUAAUUUUUUUUUUUUUUUUUUGUUAACAUAUAUUGAUAUGAUCCCUCUUAAUUUUGCAUUGUAUCAUUGAUUCACUGCCGGAGCAGACAAUCGAACAUGUGGUUUUCAUGCAGAAUGUUACAGAUAGCACCAUAACUUUCUUUGUUUUGUUCGUUGUUUCUUUUAAAUCUCUCUGUUGAUCUCUUGGUUUUCAAGUUGGUUCAGGAGAUUAAUUAUUAAGUAUGAAAUUUGAUAUCAAAGAUGUAUAUCGGCUCUGAGCACAUAAGUUAAUAUAUGUUGGUGUUUGCCAGAUUAGCGAGUUCAAGCUCGAAAAAUUCUGAAAAGUCAAAGAGUUCAGGCUCUUCACUCUUUUGUAGGGUGUACUGUAAAACAUCAACCUCAGAAUGUGCAACCUCACCGAUCUAAUGAGAUAGUGAGUUUUAUUAAGAGACUAAAAAUUUGCACAACUAUGGACUAUUGAGAGAAAACAAGAAAGAGUGGGAAGGGGAAGGAGAGGAGGGAAGCAAAUAGGAAUUGACUUGAUAAAAUUUGUAAUAUAAUAUAAAAGACAAAGAGGGAGAGAGGAUGGGAGACAAAGAGGGUAGGAAAAAGUGAGCAGUUUCAAGGGACCAUUCUAAUGUCUUAGACAUGUAAGUAAGUAAGAAGAAACUUUCUCAUCUCACAUAACCAUAAAAGACAAGGAGAGGAAAAGGGAGUGGGGGAGCAAGCAGUACGGGCAUAUAAAUUUUUCGAAGCUAGAAAGAGAAAGAGGGGGUAGGGGGGAGAGGAAAAGUGAAAGGGAUAAAGAGAAGAGGGCAAGGCUGCGAAGGAGCCGGGGGAGAAUGUGAAGGUAAAAUUUAGAAAAAGAGGAUGCAAGAGUUUGUUCAACUUAAUGAAUUUUUCAACUUGAGUAACUUUUGAUUUUCUAUUGUGCUGUUGUUUAUAUUGUGCUAUAUCUAUGAUCAAGUUAUAUGCUCCAUAGUCUAUACUCUCAAUGGAUCGGAAUUAUCUGAUAUAUUAAAGACAAGAGAAGUGAAUCCUCAAAAUUGUUACAAUAUCACUGUUUCUUAAUCUUCUGUUUAGCCAUCCUCACAAAUUUUGAUUUUUCCAUACCUCUGUGUAAAUAACCUACUAUUGGUUCACAGUCGAUAACAUCUUCACCGUCUAAAGUACCGAUGAGUCAGAGAACACCAUGCAUUGAUGGAUGGUGAGGGCCCAUAUUGACUAUCAUGAAGUCUUUUCUGGUAGUUGGUACAGUCAUAGGUUUUUCUCCGAUUCAUUCUUUCACAAAUUCAUUUUUGCAACUAAUGGUAUCACCAGCUGUAAAAGCUUUUCUAACAAAGGCAUAAAGUUUGUGACAGUUUGUGUGUGGUAUGAAAAGAAGACAUGCAUGAUCACCCUUUUUGGUUUGAAAAGGGCUCGUAAAAAGGAUUGCUGCUAUCCUAGAGCCGGCUGAUGAAAUUGGAUAAAUAGGUAAAUGGUGAUAUCAAUGAGGAAGAGAUCACUUAAGAGGCAGGAGAUAUAGUUGAGAGAAUUUGAAGAGAGUAAUGAAACAUACCAAUUAAUUAAACAAGAUUCAGCUAUUCAAGAGGCACAUUUAUGGAAGAUUGAGCUUGGGAAGGCUAGAGAACGUAAUGUAAUAUUAGAAGGUUGUGAGAGCAGAGAAGGGUGAGGAUUACAAAAAUGGAUUUUGAAACCAGGAUAAAAGAAGCACAGAAGGAAUCAACAGCUUUGCAAAUGCUCAUUAUAUUUCAACUUUUGGAUGUUUCACUAUAUACUACUUCAUGUAUCCCCCAAAUUUUAAACUUCAUCCUAACUAAUUCUUUGGCCGGAUGAGCUUAAGUUAUGGGUCAGCUUAGAAUAGCAAAUAAGCUAAUUUUGCAGUUUUUUCACAAUUUUUAUUAGUCCGUUUAGUUUAAUCUCAUUACAAGCAUAGUCUCCAGUUAGAAUUUAGUUUCCUAUUUGAUGCAUUCCCUCCAUCCUUAAUUUUUUGUCUCAUUUCCAAUAUUUGGGUCAAAUAUUUAAUACUUGACCAUUAAUUAUCAUUGAUCUAUAAGAGAUGAUAUAGUAAUGAGGGAUUAUGUUAGAUUCAUCUUAUUAUA